rfam:Schistosoma mattheei strain Denwood, Zambia genome assembly, scaffold: SMTD_scaffold0000315
AUCCACCUGACGAGUUCCAAGUAGGACGAAACGCGCGUUAUGGAU